rnacentral:rRNA from 1 species
UACGGGGGGGGCAAGCGUUGUUCGGAAUUACUGGGCGUAAAGGGCUCGUAGGCGGCCAACUAAGUCAGACGUGAAAUCCCUCGGCUUAACCGGGGAACUGCGUCUGAUACUGGAUGGCUUGAGUGUGGGAGAGGGAUGCGGAAUUCCAGGUGUAGCGGUGAAAUGCGUAGAUAUCUGGAGGAACACCGGUGGCGAAGGCGGCAUCCUGGACCACGACUGACGCUGAGUGAGCGAAAGCCAGGGGAGCAAACGGG